UGCUGGUCCGAGUGCUGUAAGUGGUGUUUACAACCACUUACAGAUUUAUUUGUUCCUUCUCCACUCCCACUGCAUCUCUUGACUAGCCAAAA
ensembl:Y_RNA Y_RNA Y RNA